AGGAUUUCUUUCAUUUUUCAAAUUCAAUACUGAAUAGUAAGAAUUAAAUUUUGUCUUGAAUUAACAUUUUCUCUCUGCAGCAGGCACAAAGUGCUAUCCAAGAGAGCAAAGUCCUGAAAUCAAGGGUUUAUCUGGAAGUCCUCAGAAGUCACCUAACAUGAAGCAAGCAAUAUGGACAAGGUUAGGAAGAAGUCAUUGUUGUGCUGGAGGGAUUCCAUGACUUUUGCUCCAGCAACAAUUGCUCUUGUUUUAAAUUCUACACACUAAACAAAUGACUAACUUCAACCCUGGGUUUAACGCUAUACCCUACCCUAAACCUAACAUAGGACCCUAUUGCAAACCUAACCCUACAUCUUACAUAAAACGAAGUUCGGAGCAACUGUUGCAGGAGCAAAUGUCUUGUCACCACUGGAAGAUGGACUCGACAAACUCGGUCAAAGGUCAAGAAAAUUAUCAGAAAUAUGCUGUGAGAUCCAGUGCUUUACCUCAUGGCUGAGAGGAGGCUUACACAGCUGAUAGAUGACAGUGCUAUGUAAAUCAUGUCACUCGGUGUACAACAUGGAUGCACCCCCUAUCUGGGAAAGUCUUCCAGAGCUAAAGAUGUGACACCAAUCUUGACAUCUUCAUCUGCACUGAAUGUCUGGUGCGAUCGUUUGUUGGUACAUACAUGGACAUGAUGUGUAAUCCACCUGUAAAGAAAGACCAAAUGUUAUAUCCUUUGAAACAUACAACAAAGGAACCUGUUUUGUAAAUACCUCUUUUUCUUAUCUCUGAGAGAGAUGACUACCAGGGACUGUUACUUUGACACCAGACAUUAUACACGCUCUGUUUUUGGUGCUCCACUUAUGUACUUAACAUGGAAAUUUCCACCAUGUAAAUCAAAUUGAACGAACCAAAUGCUGAUUUAAAAGACUAUCUGCAUUCGCUACUUAUGAACCAGGAUGGGAAAUGGUUUUUGUCUCACCUGCAUAGCAGAGUGAGACUAUAGGCACCCGCCGCUUUUCCGACGGCGGCGGCGUCGGCGUCAACACCAAAUCUUAACCUAAGGUUAAGUUUUUGAAAUGUCAUCAUAACUUAGAAAAUAUAUGGACCUAGUUCAUGAAACUUGGACAAGGUUUAUCAAGUAUUACUGAACAUCCUGCUUGAGUUUCAUGUCACAUGACUAAGGUCAAAGGUCAUUUAGGGUCAAUGAACUUUGGCCAUAGUGGGGGUAUCUGUUGAAUUACCAUUAUAACUUUAUAAGUUUAUGGAUCUGAUUCAUGAAACUUGGACAUAGGAGUAAUCAUGUAUCACUGAACAUCUGUGCAAGUUUCAGGUCACAUGACCAAAGUCAAAGGUCAUUUAAGGUCAUUGAACUUUGGUAAUUUUAGAGGUAAUUAUUAGAUUGCUGUCAUAACUUUCAAAGUUUAUAGAUAUAGUGUAUAAAGUGUGGAUAUAGGGGUAAUCAAGUUUCACUGACAAGUUUUAGAUCACAUGAUCAAGGUCAAAUGUCAAUGAACGUAGUAUUGUAUCAUAUGAAUGGUGUUUUUUGUGAAUAAUUAUUUGAUAGUAGUUUUCAAAGACAGCACUGCUGCUAUAUUGAAUUGCGUGAUGCAGGUGAGACCGCCAGAGGCAUUCCACUUGUUAUUUUUUAGGGGCUAUUUUUUUCCACAAUGGGGGUGAUUGCUGACUUUUUGGGGCUAUUUCUUUCAUAUUAAGAGCUACAUUUUUUGCAACAAGCACUUACGCUGCAAAAGCAUUUCUCAUCAUUCUGCUGUAUGUAGAAAAUUUAUUUUUAGACAAUAUUAGCGCCCCAAAGUGUUCAAUUUUGUGAAUUUUCCAACACUGUCAUGAACCCAUUUUUAGGUAUUUUAUGAUGACUUUUGUGUAUCUCAAAGGAGCAGGUCCAAGCUAUUAUCUCUGAACAGUGAUUUUCAGUUUAAAUUUAAAAAAAAGACCUUUUCUCUUUCUUAAAACCUUUUAUUCUGUUUCAAACUUGAUCGAGAAUGAAAUUUGUUUUUGAGAAAAUGGACACAUAAAAAGCACGAAUUCCAUUUUGCAGUGAGUUUUCUCCCUAAAAGUAUAGAACCAAAACAGAUUUUUCGUUUUGAUUUACUGGUAAACAGAAAAUCACUGUCCCUAAUUAUUUGCUGACUUUCCAAAUUAUCUGAAUUAUCUGUUGUUUGAUUAAUGGAUGCAUAGAAUGUAGAGCAUGAUUACUAGGAGAAAAUAUGUGCACAAGGUUACAAAUGAUUUCCAAGUAUCAUGAGGUUUAUAAUAAAUAUGGUGUGGUAAUUAGGGCUUGUAGGUUUUUGUGGAGUUAACUCGGUUUACAUGAAGUUAGUAAUUGUGUUUAUUUUGUGUUUACUAUUCCGCAAAAGUGGACCCAAAGGUUUUCCAGAGUUUUCCUCGAAUGAAUUUUAUCUCUGGUUUUUUACCCUGGAUCUACUUGUCGUAGAAUAAUUGUUUAAAGGGGAACGUAAAGGCUUGUUUACUUUAUGCACACAAUAAUAAUACUGUACUGGAUUAAUGAAAUCAAAAAUUGGAAAGCGCGAAUUUAACCCAUCCCAGGGUCAUCAUUUAUUUGAGUUGCCGAAGUUCUCUUCAAUCUUUCGCCCUAGACUCUUAACUUGCUUCUGGAUGGCUCUGCACCAAUUAUGUGAUACCCCUUAACCCUAUUAGGACUGGGAGGGGGCCAUGAUGGCCCCCCUCGACGCUUUGCACAAUAUUUCCGAAACGCAAAAGGUAGCUCCGCAAAAUUUUUUGACUUUUUUCUUUCAAGUCUCGCAAAACUUUUGAGACCAAAUUUGCGACCUACGGGUAUAGCAUCGGGACGCUACGUGACUUUUUACGAGACAAUGUCAUGCCAAAAAUUGAUAAUUUUUAUACUUUCUGUACAAAGUCUGUGGGAGAUGAAAUUCAUAAAAGUGUGAUUAUUUUUCAUUCUAAUUGGUCUGCCUAAUUAAUAUAGAGUUUAACUUAGUUGUUAAGUGGUCUGUAAUAAUUUCCAUU